AUUGAACGCUGGCGGCAGGCUUAACACAUGCAAGUCGAACGAGUGGCGGACGGGUGAGAAAUGUAUGGGGAUCUGCCUGCUGGAGGGGGAUACCUACUGGAAACGGUAGCUAAUACCGCAUACCAUCAGCUGAACCCAUAUGGGAUUAGCUGUUAGGUGAGGUAACGGCUCACCUAGGCGACGAUCCCUAGCUGGUCUGAGAGGAUGAUCAGCCACACUGGGACUGAGACACGGCCCAGACUCCUACGGGAGGCAGCAGUGGGGAAUAUUGCACAAUGGGCGCAAGCCUGAUGCAGCCAGGCCGCGUGUAUGAAGAAGGCCUUCGGGUUGUAAAGUACUUUCAGUCGGGAGGCGUUACCGACAGAAGAAGCACCGGCUAACUCCGUGCCAGCAGCCGCGGUAAUAC
rnacentral:rRNA from 1 species